AGGUGUCAUGGAAGGUACUGCACAACAGCAUGAGGAGGGUCACAAGUUCUCCACUCCUGGAUCUACACUGACAGGAAGUGUGUCUCCAUGGUUCUAGACAGGAUUCUCAAAGACCCUUACAACUGACACAAUGGCACCAGCCCUGAAUCAUCUCAAGGAGUCCCAGAGGUUCUGAAGGUUUUUACAAGACCCAAACAUCUCCAGGUCUUCUCACUACAGGACACCCCAGUUAUUAAUUGGAGUAACUCAUGAGGUCAGAAGUUCCCCAGAGAAGAGGAAUGACUAUUAAACCAGUGAGUGCCACAGAUGUGCCUUGAAUAGAACCUGGGUAGGAAAAAAACCAACAUGCUGUCCAGGAGUAGCUAAGAGCUCUUGGAUAUCCUGCACUUGUUUCUGCCUUUAAAACAAAUAUUGCUGGUGCUAUCUUCACAAAAGCAUCCUAAGAUUCUGCUGUUCAUUCCUGUGAAGGAAAGAGAUCCCAGGCAUGUUGAAUUUUGUUACUGAUCAGGGAUGAGGAAGCAACACUCUUGUGUUUAGGAUAUUUUUGUUUUGCCUUGAAAAGGAAUUAUGAGCUGCUUUUUUCCUGAGUGCCAUUGCUCCCCAAGGGGCAACGACUGAAUUGGCUGAGUAGUCUUCUAGUGCAAUUUCAUGCAUUCUCCUCCCCAAAAGGAAAGAGGCCUUCCUGCUGUGCAUCCUCUUUUCCCUCAACAUGAGUCCUUCUGGCAGUUGCUUCUCUGGGUGCUCUGAACAAGUGCUCUCAGUUCCUGGUUCACUGCCACCCGUCCAUCAUGUCCCUUGCAUCAAGAGACACAACAGUGCUCUACUCUGGAGGAGAUUAACUGGCUGUCACUGCUGGGGAACUGCAAACCACUACCAGUUUGUGGAUCAUCCUGUUAAUUAAUGCCAGGUUUUUUUUUAAAAAAAUGUGUGUGUGUGUGUGUGUGUUACACCCUGUGUUUUUCCACAUGUCACUAGCUGCAACCAGUUCAUUGGCUUGAAGGAAAGGAAACACUGAAUGGGAUCACCAUCUCCCAAGUCACCGUUAUUUCCCAAGCAUCUGUGACUAUUGUGUUUGGAGGCCUAGUAAGAAAAAACAGUUUUGGAAGCUCAUCUGUUCUAUUUUGAGAUCAUAUCACAAGUGGGUGGCUCUGCUAAAGGAAAGAAAGCAGGAUUCCACUUCAAGAAGAAGAAGCGGGAUUGGACACUUGUGGCCCCACAAAAGUUCUCGGACUGGCUGUGAUGGGUCCCCCAUCUAGGUUGGCCACACUGUUCCAAACCUUGCCCCUUUACACCUCAAAACACCUCCCUGGAUCUGGUAACCAAAAUGUUCCCUGUUAUGGACAAGUUGCUCUGUUGAUCAGUGAGUUCAAUGUGGUAAGCAUGUCCAGUCUCCUUACCAAUUCCUAAAUGGAACAGAGUAAGUUGUAGAAAAUAAACAAGUGAAGAUAUAUUAUAUAACAAAUAUAUUAAACAAGAAAUCCCUGAACUCUUUCCUCAUGCACAGCUACCAAAACCUUAUUCAAAUUUCCCUCCUUGCAUCUGGCUAUCUUCACUGUAUCCCAUCUUUUCUUCUUUAGCAGACAAACUUCUAGUUUGUACCCUUUCUGCCCUCUUGUUGCCUCCAGACCCCAUUACAGCAUUCCUUGAACUGUGAUUGGCUGCCUUUAACCAGACUAGACCUAUUUCUCUUCACACUGCAAUCCCCAUCAUCUGCCACUACUGACUUGCUGACCAGGGCUGAUGGGAGUUACAGUCCAACAACCUUUGGAGGGCCACUAAUUACCCACGUCUGCAUCAAAAUAAGCAACCCGAAUCUUGAUCAGAUUACCUUCUUAUUAAGGCGGGCUUUCAAUAACUGACUCUGCUGAGGAAGGCAUUUUUAAAAGGAGAGCUCUACUUGUUCUCCCCCAAUUGCACCCCAUGCGUUUCUAAGUGGCUUUUAAUGUACUUUAUUUAAUACAAUAAGCUGUUUAAUUGUGGUUUAAUGUUAUAAUCUAUACUUUAAAGAAAUGUUAAAAACAUGUUGGAUUCAAGUUUCAGGAGAAAGAUAGGAUAUAAAUAAACACAUAAUAAGAGAGCAUAAUGGCCAUCAACACCAGCCUUGUGAAUGUUUCAGUUUGUAAACUUGGGCCUUGAUUCCAAGAUGGCUAACCCAAAACUGGCCCAGUGCUAUGUUCCUUCUCCCUCAACAGUUUGCUAUAGUAGGCCACAGAGGUAUUCAUAUUUUUGAAACUCGUUAAAAGCCCUGCAUCAAACUGUCUCUUCUUCAAUGGAUGGAAAAAGCUUGGUUCCCACUACACACUCUCCAAGAAGCUUGUUAAACUUCAGGUUAAAUUGGCCGUUAAUGCAAAUAUAACAACUGUGUUAUCAAGAAUGUGCAUUUGAUUUUUCAUCUAUGUCCAGUUUUGCAUAUUCAGUAUUUUCAACAAGAAUUGCACGAUUAAAG